AGGAGCAACAGCCCUAGUGGCGGGGCCAGCUCUGGAGCCCUGGAUUCAGCCCCCGCAGGAACUCCGGAGCUCUCCGUCUGCAGGGCCUGGAGGCUCCGGGGCGGG
rnacentral:pre_miRNA from 1 species